rnacentral:lncRNA from 1 species
GGUUCAGGGGUUGUGUACCUGCGUGGCCCCACGCAUCUCCCCUUGUCUCUCAGUUUCUUCGCUUGCAAAGUGAGGCUCACGCUCCUGAGAGCCAUGAUGAGCAAAUGCUGGGGAGGGUGGCAAAGAGAUUCUUUCCUGUUGGCCACCCAGGUCCCUCAGUUGACACCUCUGCCUUUUGGCCCCAAAGUUUAUGUAUUAACAGCCCUCAAAGGCGUGCAGUUCUAAGAAGCCCUUGAGAGUGGAGCCCUGCCAUGAGCUCUGGCAGGUGGAGCAGGUAGAGCAGGUGGGGUCUGGGGGCUGCUUUGUGUCUCCUGUCUGGGGAGCUGCAGAAAGGCCAGUAACCAUGGGGAGUGGGGUUGAGGUGUUUGGAACAAAAGGGGACGAUAAAGCUAAUCUCAAGAGUGUGUGUCUGUUAUCUUCGAGGAACUCUAAAUAAGGUGUUUGUGUAGUGUGAGGGCGGGUCUGUGUACACACGUGAGCACGCCUACCUGUGUGUGUCCUGUGUUUGUGAACAUUUAGUAUGAAGAUGAGUCUCUGUAUACACACAAGUGUCUGUGCCCAUGUGCACACACGUAUAGUGUGAAGGUAGUUUUGUGUAUCUAUGAGCCUGCCCAUGUGUGCACAUGGCAAAGGUGUGUGUGUGUGUGUGUGUGUGUGUGUGUGUGUGUGUGUGUGUGUGUGGUGUGGUGUGUGCAUGUACCAUCCCCACGGGUGGGGGGCUGGCAGUUUGAACAACAGCCACCUAUUUCUUUUGCAUCUGGCUCGAGGCUCCAGUUGCAGAAUAUGAAUCCAUAACAUAUGGUCAGGAUAGUCAGAUGUUCAGCUGAGUGGAUGAGGCUGGUCUGGGAGGUUUGCUGCCCUAAACAGGGGCCCCUCUAUCCCCACACUGCCUGCGUGGAAGUGAGGUCUCUGCCUGCCAGCAGAUCUGUGUCCUUGUGGCCUUGUUCUGCCCUGAGGUAGGAUUUGGUGGCAGGGACCUGAGCUCAGGUGUGCAUGCAUUUCCAGACCGUCUCUGAUUGUAAUCAGGGUUUUGCUGUAGUAACUCUGUGUGUGCAUGUGCGUGUUUGUCUCCAGCUAAAUAUGUGGUGAUGCUGCUUUCCUUUUAUCCUUCCUUCUCCCCUCCUGUUCUCUCUCCCUCCCUCCCACACAUACUGUGCAUCUUCUCUUUGCCAGGCCCUUUUCCAUGGGCUAAGGAUGCAAAGAUGAUUCAGAAAUAGUCCCUGUCAUGAGCAGCAGCCAGUGGAUUUAAGGGGAAAGAUAAGCAAGCUGCAGUAACAGAAGACAGCCGCGGAAAGGACACAGGGGAUUCUGGGGGCACAAGGAGGAGCCCUGUGAAAGGUCUGCAGAUUACGACAGUGCUUGAACUAAAUCUCAAAAGUCGAGGAAUGCGUCAGUUUUAUAAGAAUAGCCACUGUGUUUUCAGGAGAUGACACUUUGGGACACAAGACAGAGUUAGCUACUCACAUUUGGGAGACUCUUAAGUUACAGUAUCUUUGUUAAAAAUGAUGGGGCUGUGAUGGCUUGUUUUAGAAAAACCAUUAAACUCCACACAGAGCAAGCAAGGAUUAGGAGAUGAGCCUCCUCUACCUCUUCUAUUUGCCAGUUUAGACUCCAAAGGGGAAAGGGACUGGAUGUCUACUGAGCACCUACAGUAUGUUAGGUGCCUUUAAAUGUCUCAUUCGUUCUCACCAGAAGCUCCAUGGGUGGAAGGUUGGGCAACCCCACUGUACAGCUGGGGAGAUGGAGCCUCAGGUCUCAGCCCAGGCAAAAGGCAGGAUUUUGAAUCACAAUUUAUAUGGCUCAAUUCCCAAGCCUGUGGGUCUUUCCAACAAACCCCACUGCCUGCAAGAAUAUUCUAGAGAGAACCUAUCAUUGUGGCCAAUGGACUUCUUGUCAAGGAUCUUGUCAAGGAACUUGGAAUUCAAUAUAAAGUCACUACUCUUCCUUCCAAAAAAGAAAAACCUGGAUGCCUGCCCCUUUUGGUAAAAAAAAAAACCACAUCACGCCAUAGUGGGAUGCACUAUUAAUAUACAUUGUCAUGACAUCAGUAUUGCAGGCUCUUUCUUUUGGAGAGCCAGGAUGUUGCUAAUUUGCAUACUGCUUUGCAUUCAUUUGCAUUCACUCUCCAUAUGCAAAAUCAGAUGCAGCUAAUUAGUGCAACCUUGUUACAAUGAGAAGCAGGCCCAGCCUCCUGUGCCAGGGCAUAUGGAGCCCAGAACAAGGACCCAAACCAUCCAAAGUCAGUCAUAUUCCCUGGGUUGGAUACGCUGGAGUUGAGAGGAAGAGGCGCAGCCUGGAUGAAAAACAGGAUGGCUGAGUAUCGUUAUUUUUCAGAUAUUGCCUCUUUGAAAUAACCAUUGUGCAGAGAGAGGAAAGGAGAGAGAGAGAGAUCAAAGCAUGUGACAAGAAUUUGGCUUCAGGUAGGAUUUCUUUGGAGAAAGAGCACAGAAUUUGGAGCCCAAAGGCCUCAGAUGAAGUUAACGUUGGAGUCAGGCUUUGCCACAUAAAAUCUGUGGGACCUUGUACUUCAAGGACUUGUAGGGAUUAAAUGCAGGAAAAAAAAA